rnacentral:tRNA from 1 species
GAGGGUAUAGCUCAGUGGUAGAACAUGUGCUUAGCAUGCACGAGGUUCUGAGUUCAAUCCCUGGUACCUCCA